CCUACGGGUGGCUGCAGUGGGGGAUAUUGCACAAUGGGGGAAACCCUGAUGCAGCGACGCCGCGUGGGUGAAGAAGCGCCUCGGCGCGUAAAGCCCUGUCAGCAGGGAAGAAAAUGACGGUACCUGAAGAAGAAGCCCCGGCUAACUACGUGCCAGCAGCCCCGGUAAUAGGUAGGGGGCAAGCGUUAUCCGGAUUUACUGGGUGUAAAGGGGGCGCAGCCGGGGCUGCAAGCCAGGAGGGAAAGCCCGGGGCCCCCCCCCGGGACUGCUCUUGGAACGGCGGGGCUAGAGUGCAGGAGGGGCAGGCGGAAUUCCUGGUGUAGCGGUGAAAUGCGUAGAUAUCAGGAGGAACACCGGUGGCGAAGGCGGCCUGCUGGACUGCAACUGACGUUGAGGCCCGAGAGCGUGGGGAGCAAACAGGAUUAGAUACCCGGGUAGUC
rnacentral:rRNA from 1 species